CAACUCGAGUGCAUGAAGCUGGAAUCGCUAGUAAUCGCGGAUCAGAAUGCCGCGGUGAAUACGUUCCCGGGUCUUGUACACACCGCCCGUCACACCAUGGGAGUCGGGAAUGCCCGAAGCCGGUGGCCCAAUCGAGAGAAGGGAGCCGUCGGAAGGCAGGCCGGAUGACUGGGGUGAAGUCGUAACAAGGUAUC
rnacentral:rRNA from 1 species